rnacentral:rRNA from 1 species
AUUGAACGCUGGCGGCAGGCUUAACACAUGCAAGUCGAGCGGUAGCACAGGGGAGCUUGCUCCCUGGGUGACGAGCGGCGGACGGGUGAGUAAUGUCUGGGAAACUGCCUGAUGGAGGGGGAUAACUACUGGAAACGGUAGCUAAUACCGCAUAACGUCGCAAGACCAAAGAGGGGGACAUUCUGGCCUCUUGCCAUCAGAUGUGCCCAGAUGGGAUUAGCUAGUAGGUGGGGUAAUGGCUCACCUAGUCGACGAUCUCUAGCUGGUCUGAGAGGAUGACCGGCCACACUGGAACUGAGACACGGUCCAGACUCCUACGGGAGGCAGCAGUGGGGAAUAUUGCACAAAGGGCGCAAGCCUGAUGCAGCCAUGCCGCGUGUGUGAAGAAGGCCUUCGGGUUGUAAAGCACUUUCAGCGAGGAGGAAGGUGGUGAGCUUAAUACGUUCAUCAAUUGACGUUACUCGCAGAAGAAGCACCGGCUAACUACGUG